AAAAUUUUUUUUUUUUUUCUAAUCAAUCUGAAUUGAGAACAAAACAAUGUAAAAGAAUGUUAUGUAAAUGUUUUGAGUUGUUUCUUAGUCUAAAACCAAGACCAACUGUCAUAGAAGGCCUGAACACUGACCUGUAAAGCCACAACCUGUGGGCAGUUUAGACCAAUAACUCGUUGCCACGUGAUAGGUCAGUACAACAUGGCUAUUGGUUUCCACUGCCCACAGUUUGUGACGUUGCAGGUCGGAGUUCAGGCCUUCUAUAACGAAUGGUCUGGAACCAAAACCCACUGAUCAUGCAAUAGACACUCAAAACUUCAACUCUGUUAGACUGAAAUGUAUGUCUAAGUGAAAAGCUUACUUCCAUCCAAUUUUUAUCUUGAACAAAGUGACACACCAAAGCUGCAAUAAACAAACACACACACAUACACACAAAAUCAUGUUGAAGCAAAACUUUAAGUUAGAAACAUAUUUUUUAAAUGAGAAAAGAAAAGAAAAAAAAAAGGUACACUACAUCUAGGUCAAGUUCAACUAAACAAAAACAUGAUACAAAACAAUAAGUAGGGGAAAAAAAAUGGAGGACAAUAAAUUUGAUCUAUUUACACAUUUUCAUCAACCGAAAAUAAUGACACACAAAAAGUUGCAAGGAAAAAAGUCAAUCUGAGUGAUAGAUCAAAUGUUUUGGCAGCAAGGUGUGGAUUUAGUGCUCACAGAGCAUGCAGCUUUAGUCUGGAUUCAAAUACUCCCAUAAUGAUAUGUACUAGGUCAGUGCCGCCAGACCAUAGGGUCAUGUGUGACACAGUGCUGUCUGGCACUGAUGGACCACAGGGCCAUGUGUGACACAGUGUUGUCUGGCACUGAUGGACCACAGGGCCAUGUGUGACACAGUGCUGUCUGG